rnacentral:rRNA from 1 species
ACCUGAUCUAGCGAUGCCGCGUGUGUGACGAAGGCCUUAGGGUCGUAAAGCACUUUCGCCAGAGAUGAUAAUGACAGUAUCUGGUAAAGAAACCCCGGCUAACUCCGUGCCAGCAGCCGCGGUAAUACGGAGGGGGUUAGCGUUGUUCGGAAUUACUGGGCGUAAAGCGUACGUAGGCGGAUUAGUAAGUUAGAGGUGAAAUCCCAGGGCUCAACCCUGGAACUGCCUUUAAUACUGCUAGUCUAGAGUUCGAGAGAGGUGAGUGGAAUUCCAAGUGUAGAGGUGAAAUUCGUAGAUAUUUGGAGGAACACCAGUGGCGAAGGCGGCUCACUGGCUCGAUACUGACGCUGAGGUACGAAAGUGUGGGGAGCAAACAGGAUUAGAUACCCUGGUAGUCCACACCGUAAACGAUGAAUGCCAGUCGUCGGGUAGUAUACUAUUCGGUGACACACCUAACGGAGUAAGCAUUCCGCCUGGGGAGUACGGUCGCAAGAUUAAAACUCA